rnacentral:rRNA from 1 species
CAGCCGCCACGGUAAAACGAAGGGUGCGAGCGUUACCCGGAUUUACUGGGCGUAAAGGGCGUGUAGGCGGCCUGGGGCGUCCCAUGUGAAAGGCCACGGCUCAACCGUGGAGGAGCGUGGGAUACGCUCAGGCUAGAGGGUGGGAGAGGGUGGUGGAAUUCCCGGAGUAGCGGUGAAAUGCGCAGAUACCGGGAGGAACGCCGAUGGCGAAGGCAGCCACCUGGUCCACUUCUGACGCUGAGGCGCGAAAGCGUGGGGAGCAAACCGGAUUAGAGACCCCCGUAGUCCCUGUCUCUUAUAC